rnacentral:tRNA from 1 species
GCCGGGAUAGCUCAGUUGGUAGAGCAGGGGAUU